GGAACCUGCACGGGGCGGGAGGCGCCUGGGUCCUCCUGGCCACUCCCACCCAGACCUGUGGCCUGGAAACAGCCCUGGACGCAGUCCCCACCCCAGCCUGGCUGCUCCUACGGGGCCCUCCCGCACCCUGUCUGCGGCCCCGGGGCCCCGGGCGUUCGGGGGGGUCUGAGGCACCCUCACCUCUCAAACUUCUCGCUGUUGUUGGUCUUGCCCUGCUGGAUCACGUGCACAAAGUCAUAGGACGUCCAUGAGCUGGAUCAUCUGCAGCGUCAGCAUGUCCUGGCGGAGGUCUGUGCCGCGGCCCCGGGGGAAAGAGCAGAGUUUCUGGAGGGUUCCGCACGCCCAGCAGGCCUGGGCCCCGCUCCGGACGUGUCCCUGGCUCACCCUCCGGACCCGGGGCAGUGGGGGCCCGGCCGCUCACCGUCCCCGUUCUUGAAGAUGAUGCCCACGCUGCCGUCACCGCCCGCCUCCUCGUUGCUGUACACGACCCACAGCGGCUUCAUCUUGGAGUCCAUGAAGGAUGCUGGGGUCCAGCGGGGACUGCAGGUGGGACAGCGCCUCCAGGUAGGUCUCCUGGCGCAUGCACAGGUGCAUCAGCUCCUUGGUCUGCGGCUUGGGGCUCUUCUGCGAGCUCACCUUGACAAAGUCGUUCAG